rnacentral:rRNA from 1 species
GUAUAAGAGACAGCAGUCGCCGCGGGAAUACAGAGGGUGCGAGCGUUAAUCGGAUUUACUGGGCGUAAAGCGUGCGUAGGCGGCUUUUUAAGUCGGAUGUGAAAUCCCUGAGCUUAACUUAGGAAUUGCAUUCGAUACUGGGAAGCUAGAGUAUGGGAGAGGAUGGUAGAAUUCCAGGUGUAGCGGUGAAAUGCGUAGAGAUCUGGAGGAAUACCGAUGGCGAAGGCAGCCAUCUGGCCUAAUACUGACGCUGAGGUACGAAAGCAUGGGGAGCAAACAGGAUUAGAUACCCCUGUAGUCCCUGUCUCUUAUAC